AUACGGAGGGUGCGAGCGUUGUUCGGAAUUAUUGGGCGUAAAGAGCAUGUAGGCGGUCUGUUAAGUCUGGUGUGAAAGCCCGGGGCUCAACCCCGGAAGUGCAUUGGAUACUGGCAGACUUGAGUAUGGGAGAGGAAAGCGGAAUUCCGAGUGUAGGAGUGAAAUCCGUAGAUAUUCGGAGGAACACCAGUGGCGAAGGCGGCUUUCUGGACCAAUACUGACGCUGAGAUGCGAAAGCGUGGGGAGCAAACAGGAUUAGAAACCCCAGUAGUCC
rnacentral:rRNA from 1 species